AAUAAAUAUUUAUUAUCUCGAUUAUAAUGAUGAUAAAUAAUUGUAUGUAUCUUGAAUAUAAAAAUAGAAUAGACAAAUAUGAACAGCCUCCCACAAAAAGGAAAAGCCACUCCUCGUCUCUCACCACACAAGCACAUCACACAUCCCUUAUCCCCACCGCAUAAGGCACAGCUUCAGCAACUCACAUGGCGUAGUCUUCAACUUCUCUCCCUGCCACUGCGCCUCUUGUCCCGUCACAACACGUCCCCCGGCUCCUCUCCCCACCAGCCAUCGCUUCCUUUCCCUGUCUAUGGGUCGAUCUGUAGCAUAGAUAGUAGAUAAGCGACAAUUGCUGGCCUAAAUUCUAUUGUCUGCAUGCAGUGGCUGAUGGACCACGCCCUAUCGAGGAAAGCAGCAACAGGGCCAUAGGUAACAGGCAUCGACAAUGUCAGUGGAACCAGAAACAAUGCCAUCAAACAUGAGCGGCGACCUUGACCAAGCUCCAUGUAGGUUAGUUGUUCCCCUUUCUUGUCAUGUUUUGUCUCUGUUCUCAAAUGAAUUAUUCAUAUAUUCAACAAGCGUAAAAAAAUCUCACGUGUAUCUAUCAAAUAAAAAUUGUGCAGCAAACUUGCAGUGAACUUCGCUGAUAGUGAAUUUAAUUGCUUAUAUGAUGAAUGCAGAAAGAAUUUCUAAGAGAUAGUAACAACUGACAUGAAGUAAAUCCGGUAGUCCAUUUUGAUUAGAAAUGUAUGCUAAUAUGGCUCGGAGAUGCAAUAGAACAAUGGAAGGGUUGCACUUGAAGAUCAAAUAGGACAACUCUGAGCAGUCUAUGGUCACAAAUUGUUUAGGCCCUAGAUCUCAAGCAUCAACUCUAACAGGAAGGGAAUAAAGUGAAGCAACUUCACAAGAAACAAAAAUAUAGGAUUUCUAUUUAUAUGAUAUGGGAGUCAUAGACAAUUGACAUGUGAUGAUAUUUCAUGCUUGUGAUGUGGUAGAUAAAUGCAUCUCCUCGUCAUCUCUCUAUUCCCCUCCCUAUCUCACAAUCGUUUCUUCUUCAUGUGUUUCUCAUGGGGCCAAGCAUAAUCAUUGAUAUGAAUAGUCAUUAAAAUAUUAAAUCACUACAACCAACAAUCCAUCAUCUGCUCCAAAAUUGACCACAAGAAAUAAACCAAUUGCCAGAGACUGAAGUACAACCAAGGCUUCAGAUUGCAAAUAAAAUAAAAUAAAAUGUGCUCCAUUAUUUUAGCUAAAAUAACAAGAAAAGGUAUUAUUAGUUUUUUUUCGCAUUGCCAGUGAUGUAUAUGCUUGUAACAUAAUCACAGUCUCUUCAAAAAUUAACACAUCACUUCUCAUUUUAGAAAGUUUUGAGUGUUACAGGCAUAUAAAUAUAAGACUUAACUCAAUUGCCAAUAAUGUGAGCUUGACUGAACUAAUGGAUAGUGUGAUGCAUUCCCCAAUCAUUUGACUUUGAAAUUUCAGAAAUGGGAAGAUUAUAAUUAACCAGUUGAAAGAAACUUCAGUCAAGGAUGCCAGUACAACUCCACCGAAAAAUGGUACGAGAGAACCUACUACGAGUAAAUAAGGUGUCUGCAAGAACAAAACAACAUAAGUAUCUUUUUCUGCGUAUUUCAUUUGUCAGUACGGACCACUUACCAAAGCUUGAAAUAAAAUACAUGUCCAAGGAAGAAGACAGAGAGUAGACAAGGGCACCAUGGUGUGCGUCAAGGAGACAACCACCUUUCCCAAACUCAGUUGCCUGUUUGUGUAUCUCGAGCCUUCAGGGACAAUGUUCUUUUUCCUUCCUCAUUUAGUGCCAAUAGCAGGUGGGUUGGCGUUUGAUUAAUGUGCCUCAACUUUCUUCUGGAAAAGCACAUUGGCUCAGCUUCAGCUUCACAUGUAGUUAAGUGAAGAAGAAGAAACGAUAACACGCGGUAUAUAUGUCCAUACUUUAGUCAGUCAAAGUAAUUUUUUUGAAAGAUUUGUUCAGCUAUUGAAUUUAUAAGUUGAACAUAUAUUAUAACACUAAAAGCCUCUUCUGCUGCUCCAUCAAUAAUAGUCUAGAAAUAGCAAGCAAGCGAACAAAAUACAGUGAUGUGUGUGUAGAUUGUCAGGAUUCAUCAUUGCAUAUCAUUUUUCUCUGGAUACUACAUAUGCAAGCGCAUGAUAUUGAUAUGCCAACAUUUGUGAAUAAGCGCCAUAUUUUCAGCUUGCUAAAACUCAAAAAAUACAUAAGCUCGGAAAAUCCAUGAAGGGAAGAAAACUCAGAAAAUACAGAAGUUCUAAAACAUGCAGACCUGUUCACACUAAAUCAGUACCCACCUUUACCCAUCAAUACUCCUUGUUUAUUUUGACGAACCGUCAAACCUGUAAGGACUUUGUUUACUUCUAUAAAUUACAGAAAUAACAUUAUGAAAGAUGCAUUUAGGUACAGAGUUAUAGGUAACUAACAUGAAUUGGAUCUUGUAGGCCCUUGUGGCCCUGUAUAUAUUUGUCUCAAGUCUUAACAGCUCCAGCUCUUAGACAAACAUAAAAACAAUGUUAAAUUCAAAUGCCUUAAAAACCACAUGAAUGAAAUUUUGUAUCGACCUGAACAACUAUCAAGUCACACACCAAAAACGUCUAUUACAGGAUAGGGAUUUUGUUGCUUCCCUCCAACCCCAAUUGUAAUCAAAUUUUGACAAAAGAAUGAAUUACCACAGUGAUCAAUCACCUUAAGGACUUGAAAUCACAGUGAUCAAUCUACAUUCUUCCUCAGGUCUUUACUUUGAAACCGGGUUUGCCAUGCUGCUUACAAAAGAGAAAUGCUAGAAGCAGAAACUUCAGGUCUCAUGCAAGUCCAAAGUCAAACAAAUUCAGAAGUUACUUCCAGUUCAUUUCAAUAACUAAGCCAAAACUAAUCAAGGCAACUCACAUGUGGGGAAAUCCUCAAAUUUUUGCAGUCCCAACUUAGAACUGAGAGAACUAAGUGAAAGUGGCACCUUUCUUCUACGCACCGCAACGGUCCUGUAUGAAAGAAAAAUAAGAGUGUCACUUGGCUUCACCAUGUACAUAUAUUUUGUUAGCCCCACGACGCAAGUUGAGAGGUGAGAGGUGAUUCAUUUUUCAAGAGAAUUAGUCAAACUCUAAUAUCUUCACCAUGUACUGAACUUUGUCGAGAUGAGAUGAUUCAGUUGCCUAGUUUACAAAGGUUAGAUGAUCUGAUUUGAUCAAUUUUCCACUUAAACUAAAUAUCAUUAAACUUCCGUUCAACUAAGCAGGGAGACAUUCUGGGAGGCGUGGUGAACUUUUCUUCAGAGGUAGUUUUAUGUUUCUUGCUUUUCACCUCUGCAUUUUGGGCACCACCCAAAUAUAUUUAACAAGAAAAUACUUAACAGUACUAAACCUGACCAUUCCUUGGGAAUACACAACAGGAAUCAUCAAUAUUUUCAACAACGGUCUGGUUGCCUCUAAUGAGAAUCACGCAUGUUGAGUUUCCUUCUUCUAGGGGCCCAAGAUUAGGUGCCUGCAAAAUAAGUCCCAAACUAAGGUACAGUACGGAAAGAAAAUAUCCAAAAUCGUAUUAAAAAUAUGCUAUAAAGCAGCGAAUGCCAACACUCUGUUCUACCCUUUUCGUAAUCAAGAAAAGCACCAACAGAGCACGAAGCCAAGUAAUGCAUAGCAGAUGAGUAAGUGGCCUAGAAAUGACAAUACCUUUACAAUUUAAAAUCAAAGAUAUCAAGAAGGUGUUCUGUCUACAAGUACAUAUGCACUUUAAUUGCUUACUUCUAAGCUUCAGCAUGUAAUCUAUUUCCAGGAACCUCGUUCAGCUAGCAAGAUUUCUCACACGAUAUUAUUUUUUAGAACCAUAUAGACUCAGUAACAAUCAAAGUCAAAGAAUGGUUGCCUGUGGUGGACAAUCACAGUAACAAGAUUUCUAGACUUAGUAACAAUAUUGUCAAGCAUCCGAGUAUCUUUGUUUUGAUAAUCAGGAUACAUGUGGUGGAUAAACAGGUGCAGGAGCUCAUUAUUUAGGUGAGUGCAGAUUUCCAAGUAUCAGCACAAGAAACUCUUUUGUUCUAAUACACUCUAGCUAUGCCUGAAACAAAUGGGAUUAUUGGAAUGGUUUGCUCAACAAAUUGUUACCCGAGUAUUCACCUUCGUCUAUUUUGAACAAAUGGGCUGGAUAGAUUAGUUAGUAUUACGCCAAUGAAAAUAAGAUCACAUGUGAAGAAAAUAAUAUUCAAACCUUCUUUCUCCGACACUGAGAAAUUUAGCUCUCUCACAUAUAUAGAUGAAUGCAUUAUGAGAAAGUUUAUCCCAACCACGAGAGAUUGAGAUUUACUCAAUAGGAUAGCUAAAACUUAUAAGCAACCAUUUUAGAAAUGUAAUAAAGACCUAAAGUGCACUCUCAAGUUAACUUUACCAUAGUUUCUACAGAGGCCAAUCCAAUACCUCCCUGAAUUGUUUAGCUCAGCACUGCUGGCCUCUUUUCCUUCAUCCAUAUCACC
rnacentral:lncRNA from 1 species